AAAACCUAACGGUAGAACUCAGAAAUGGUUCCAAUCGUUUUUUUACCAUACAUUUUUGAGCUGGGGAUUUUAAAACUACUUCAUAUAAGGUCUGUGUUUCAUGUUGGCUUAACCUGCCGUGAUGUUUUGAUAACCGCGAAAAUCUCUCUCGGACAAGUCCAAAGAGAGUGCAUCCCUCAGGCCAUCCGGUGCAUAGACAUCCUGUGCCAGUGUAAUCCGGUUAUGGAGACUACAGAAGAUCGAGCCUGUGGACGGACAGACAUGAGGCGUGACAUGAGGAACAUCAGGCUCUCCCCACGAGAAGCAGUGCAUGAUCGACGCCACCCUCAGCAAGGAGAUCUACUGGAAGUGAUGCACUCUCUCACUCUGGGGGUUAUGACAUAAUUUCAACAUCACAGAUAUGAAUUCCCAGUGUGCCUAUGAUAAAAUGCAAUGUUAAUUGUGUUGUACUACUGAAUGAAACUGUGAGGAGAUGCACUUAGACCAGCCUUUGUGAUUGAACUUACGUUAACUACAUUACAUUAGUUGGCUGCUUUGAGCAAAACUUGUAUGUAAUAUAAUCUAUUCUAGGAGCCUUAAUAUUUGUGUAUGAUCAAUUCCCACUAUGCCUAUGAUAAAAUGCAAUGUGAAUUGUGUUGUACUAUCAAAUCAAACCAAUUGUUAUUUGUCAUGUGCGCCAAAUACAACAGGUGUAGUAGACCUUACAGUGGAAUGCUUACUUACAAGCCCUUAACCAACAAUGCAGUUUUAAGAAAAUACCUAAUAAAAGUAAUAGAUAAGAAUAACAAAUAAUUAAAGCGCAGCAGUAAAUAACAAUAGCGGGGCUACAUACAGGGGGUACCGGUACAGGGUUAAUGUGCGGGGGCACCGGUGUCGAGGUAAUUGAGGUAAUAUGUACAUGUAGAUAGAGUUAUUAAAGUGACUAUGCAUAGAUAAUAACAGAGAGUAGCAGAAGCGUAGAAGAGGGGGGAUGCAAAUACUCUGGGUAGCCAUUUGAUUAGACGUUCAGGCGUCUUUUGGCUUGGGGGUAGAAGCUUCUUGGACCUAGACUUGAUGCUCCGGUAUCGCUUGCCGUGUGUUACGUUCCCCAGUUUCUGUGUUGAAGUUUGUAUAUUUGUGAGUGUGUUUCAGGUAAUGGCUUCCUGAAAUUCUCCAAGCAGCUGAUUGGUCGGCCCCAUUGCUGAUUGGAGAGCUGACCCCGCCCCCUCGUCAGGACGCAGCUGUCUCAAUUAACAACCCCAAUAUAAGCCAGUGUGCUGUUGCUCAGGGAAAGAGAGACACAGAGAUUUUUGCUUAGAGAGGAGGUUGAUGGCAGAAGUUAUAUAUGUUGGUUGUUUCUCAGAAAGAGAAUUGGGUAUGUACUUACUUAGUUGUUGCUGAGUAAGCUUGUUAUGUUCUGUGUUUAGUGCUCAGAGUUUUCUUGAAUGUCCUGGGUUAGUGUUUUCUCAGGUUUUGUUGUGAAGUAGUUUGUACAUUUGUGUUAUUCUGUUUCCUUUGUUCCCGGG
rnacentral:lncRNA from 1 species